GCUUGUCUCAAAGAUUAAGCCAUGCACGUCUAAGUAUAAGCGAUUAUACUGUGAAACUGCGAAUGGCUCAUUAUAUCAGUUAUAGUUUAUUUGAUGGUCCUUGCUACUUGGAUAACCGUAGUAAUUCUAGAGCUAAUACAUGCAUAAAUCCCCGACUGCUUGGAAGGGGUGUAUUUAUUAGAUGGAAACCAAUUCGGGGUAACCCGGUUUAUGGUGAUUCAUAAUAACUUUCGGAUCGACGCAAGUCGAUGCAUCAUUCAAGUUUCUGCCCUAUCAGUUGUGGAUGGUAGGAUAUGGGCCUACCAUGGCGUUAACGGGUAACGGGGAAUUAGGGUUUGAUUCCGGAGAGGGAGCCUUAGAAACGGCUACCACAUCCAAGGAAGGCAGCAGG
rnacentral:rRNA from 1 species